rnacentral:lncRNA from 1 species
AUGAGCCCCUCAUUGCUGACCGGGACCUAUAGGCUGACACAAGAAGACCCCCCACCCCACAAAGCAGUCACCCUCAGACCCCCAUCCCUACAGACCCAUCCGUACGGCCCCAACUUUUAUUCCCCAUACAGCAGCGCCGGGACCCCCCCAACCUCAUCCCCACGGCGUGACCCCCAGCAGGACAAGGGCCAACGGAGCCAGCAGGACGAGAGGCGUAGGAUGGGGGUCGGCAGCGGGGCCGAGGGCGUAGUACUGUGCCACGGCCACAUUGGGGUUGCCCUCUAUGGGGUCGAACCACAUCUGGAUGCAUCUCCCGCUGCCCCGGCGCUCCGUGCUGUAUUUGUAGGAAUGGGACCAAACCUUCUCGCAGAGGUCGGCGGGAGUCGGGAAGACGUACUUGAACUUCUGGCACAUGGCACCGUGAGGGCAUUGUUGACCUUGCAGGUGGCGGAAUCCUGGCAGUCCUCCCACCACUGCUCGCAGUCCUCGCGGCACAGAGGGACGUUUAGGAUGCGCUCACGGCGCCAGCUCGAAUCCGUCUGGAGGGUGGGAGGUGCGGGGUGGAACGGCCCCCAAAAAAGCCUUCAGCCGGGGCAACCGUCCCACAACCCAACCCCCAAAGCCUGGCCGCCAAACCUGGCCCCCGAAAUCCAACACCCCAAAUGCCAAAGUCCGACCCCAAAGCCAAGAUUCCAAUGGAACAACUCCGGAUCUCAACCCCGAAACCCGCAUCCCACAAACUCACCCCAAAUCCCACCCCAAAACCCGCUCCCUAAAGCUCCUUCACCCCAAAGCCCCUCCCCAAACCCACGCGUUCCAAACCCCAUCCCAAAUCCCACCCCAAAACCUAUUCAACCCAAAUCCCAAACCCAAAGUGCUCCACAAAGCCCCCUCACCACAUCCGCAACCCCAAAGCCCACCUACCCAAAUCCCACUCCCCAAAUCCACCCCAAAUCUCACCCCUUAACCCACCCAACCCAAAGCCCACUUCCUAAAUCCCAACCUUCAACCCUACUCACCCCAAACUUCGCUCUCCCCAACCCCAGUCCCCAUACCCCACACCAUAGAGCACCCACUUACCCAAAUCCCACUCCCCAAAGCCCCCUCACCCCAUCCUCAACCCCAAAGCCCACCUACCCAAAUCCCACUCCCCAAAAUCACCCCAAAUCUCACCCCUUAACCCACCCAACGCAAAUCCCACCUCCCAAAUCCCACCCUUCAACCCUACUCACCCCAAACUUCGCUCCCCCCAACCCCAGUCCCCAUACCCCACUCCGUAG